AUUGAACGCUGGCGGCAGGCCUAACACAUGCAAGUCGAACGAGUGGCGGACGGGUAAGUAAUGUCUGGGAAACUGCCUGCUGGAGGGGGAUAACUACUGGAAACGGUAGAUAAUACCGCAUACCAUAAGAUGUGCCCAAGUGGGAUUAGAUAGUUGGUGGGGUAACGGCUCACCAAGGCGACGAUCCCUAGCUGGUCUGAGCGGAUGACCAGCCACACUGGGACGGAGACACGGCCCAGACUCCUACGGGAGGCAGCAGGGGUGAAUAUUGCACAAUGGGGGCAACCCUGACGCAGCCAUGCCGCGGGAAUGAAGAAGGCCUUCGGGUUGUAAAGUACUUUCAGUGGGGAGGCGUUACCCACAGAAGAAGCACCGGCUAACUCCGUGCCAGCAGCCGCGGUAAUUC
rnacentral:rRNA from 1 species